UACGUAGGGUGCAAGCGUUGCCCGGAUUUAUUGGGCGUAAAGGGCGCGUAGGCGGCUCGGCACGUCCGUUGUGAAAUCGCCCGGCUCAACUGGGCGGGGUCAGCGGAUACGGUCGAGCUUGAGCAAGCUAGGGGGCAAUGGAAUUCCCGGUGUAGUGGUGGAAUGCGUAGAUAUCUGGAGGAACACCGGUGGCGAAGGCGGCAUCCUGGACCAAUAUUGACGCUGAGGAGCGAAAGCCAGGGGAGCAAACGGG
rnacentral:rRNA from 1 species